UGCCUUUAUGAUUGUCACAGUUCCCG
rnacentral:piRNA from 1 species